rnacentral:rRNA from 1 species
AGCGAACGCUGGCGGCGUGCUUAACACAUGCAAGUCGAACGUGAAAUGUAGCAAUACAGAGUAAAGUGGCGUACGGGUGAGUAACACGUGGGUAAUCUACCAAAGAGCCUGGAAUAACCGACCGAAAGGUUGGCUAAUACUGGAUAGUUCAAAUGAAAUAUAAUGUUUCGAUUGGGAAAGGGAGCGAGCAAUCGCCUUCACUUCUUGAUGAGCCCGCGUCUGAUUAGCUAGUUGGUAGGGUAAUGGCCUACCAAGGCGACGAUCAGUAGCUGGUCUGAGAGGAUGAGCAGCCACACUGGAACUGAAACACGGUCCCGACACCUACGGGAGGCAGCAGUGGGGAAUCUUGCGCAAUGGACGAAAGUCUGACGCAGCCACGCCGCGUGAGUGAAGAAGGCCUUCGGGUUGUAAAGCUCUGUCGGAAGGGACAAAAACGUUUAAGGUUAAUAGCCUUAGAUCUUGAUGGUACCUUCAAAGGAAGCACCGGCUAACUUCGUGCCAGCAGCCGCCGUAA